AACGAACGCUGGCGGCAUGCCUAACACAUGCAAGUCGAACGAGACCUUCGGGUCUAGUGGCGCACGGGUGCGUAACGCGUGGGAACCUGCCCUUAGGUUCGGAAUAACUCCCCGAAAGGGGUGCUAAUACCGGAUAAUGUCUUCGGACCAAAGAGUUAUCGCCUUUGGAUGGGGCCGGGUUGGAUUCGCUAGUUGGUAGGGUAAAAGCCUACCAAGGCGACGAUCCAUAGCUGGUCUGAGAGGAUGAUCAGCCACACUGGGACUGAGACACGGCCCAGACUCCUACGGGAGGCAGCAGUGGGGAAUAUUGGACAAUGGGCGAAAGCCUGAUCCAGCAAUGCCGCGUGAGUGAUGAAGGCCUUAGGGUUGUAAAGCUCUUUUACCCGGGAUGAUAAUGACAGUACCGGGAGAAUAAGCUCCGGCUAACUCCGUG
rnacentral:rRNA from 1 species